rnacentral:rRNA from 1 species
GGGAAAGAUGAAAAAAGGCCAACCAAGCACAAAACAGCAAGGACACACCCCUAUACCUUCUGCAUAAUGAAUUAACUGGAGACAACUUCGCAAAGAGAACUGGAGCCAAAUUCCCCGAAACCAGAUGAGCUACCCAAAAACAGCUAAAAGAGCACACCCAUCUAUGUAGCAAAAUAGUGGGAAGAUUAAUGGGUAGAGGUGACAAGCCUACUGAGCCUGGUGAUAGCUGGUUAUCCAAGAUAGAAUCUUAGUUCAACCUUAAGUUUACCUACAGAAUCACCUAAUCCCGUUGUAAACCUAAUUGUUAGUCUAAAGAGGGACAGCUCUUUAAACACUAGGAAAAAACCCUGUGUAGAGCAGUAAAAACCAAUCUCCAUAGUGGGCCCAAAAAGGCAGCCAUCCAUCAGAUAAGCGUUCAACGCUCAACAUCAAACCCCUAAAAAAUCCCAAACAUUAUACUGAACUCCUGCAUAUCCACUUGGUAAUCUAUAUAUUUUAUAGAAGGCAAUAAUGCUAGUAUCAGUAUAUGAAAGCUUUCUCACUGCAUUAGCCUACAUCAGACUGAAAAAACCAUUCACCGAUACGUAACAGUCUAAUAUUAACAAACACAAACAAAACCAAUGUUACCCAUACUGUUAACCCAACACAGGCAUGCUUCUAAGGAAAGGUUAAAAAAAGUAAAAGGAACUCAACAAACUUAACCCCGCCUGUUUACCAAAAACAUCACCACUAGCAUUACCAGUAUUAGAGGCACCGCCUGCCCAUUGACACAUGUUUAACGACCGCGGUAUCCUGACUGUGCAAAGGUAGCAUAAUCACUUGUUCCUUAAAUAGGGACUUGCAUGAAUGGCAUCAUGAGGGUUCAACUGUCUCUUACUUUUAACCAGUGAAAUUGACCUGCCCGUGAAGAGGUGGACAUAAAAUAAUAAGACGAGAAGACCCUAUGGAGCUUUAAUUUACUAAUGCAAUCAAAACCAUACAAAUCUGCGGAUUUUAAAUUACUGCACCUGCAUUAGAAAUUUUGGUUGUGGUGACCUCGGAGCAUAACUCAACCUCCGAACAACCUAUGCUAAGGCUACACCAGCCAAGCGAAUCAGUAUGCACAAUUGACCCAAUAACUUGACCAACAGAACAAGUUAUCCUUAGGGAUAACAGCGCAAUCCUAUUCCAGCGUCCAUAUCGACAAUAGGGUUUACGACCUUGAUGUUGGAUCAGGACAUCCUAAUGGUGCAGCAGCUAUCAAGGGUUCGUUUGUUCAACGAUUAAAGUCCUACGUGAUCUGAGUUCAGACCGGAGCGAUCCAGGUCGGUUUCUAUCUAUUCUAUAUUUCUCCCUG